CUGAACUCAGAGCAACAUUGGCCAUGCAGACUAUCCCCUGUGUGUCCUGCUGGUUACUCUGGCCCUUGGCUGCUAUGAGGCAAAUGCAAAAGUCUGUCCAGUUAGGAUGGAUGAAUUUAGAAGCUUCUAUUUGAUUCUGCAGAGCUCUACAAUAUCCAUUUUCUGAGAUUUGCUCCACCUAGAGAAGCUGCCAAGGCCAUGGUCAAGUGAAGCAAUGUGUAGAUUGUAUGCCCAUACAGGGAAGACAGAAAAUUUACAGUCUUCUAAAAGGCAUAUGAGGUCCAUAUGUAACAAGUAGAUAUUAAAAAUCUUACACCUGAGAGCCUCUGUCAUUCAAGGAUGGCCUAAUCACCCCCAGAAUAUGUUAAGGUUUCAAUGUCUUGCUUCAAUAAAGUACUUGCCCUGCA